CUUAGUUGAUUAUAUGAUGUUUUGCUUAUACAAUUUUUGAACAUCCAUGGUGCUUUGCGGUAGCUUCCCAUGUUUUUGUUUCCUUAUUAACUCGAAAGGCAUGAUCAAGAACCUUUGUCAUUCCUCUUUUUCACUAUGACAAAUCUUGAGUGGCUGUAUAUACUAACUUGUACUGCCACUAGUUGCUAUUUUAGUUUUUGAACGCAUGUCUUUAAGCAAAGCCUUGCCCAUUCUGGUCUUGUGAAUGGACUUGUGGACAUGAAUCGAGAGCUUUUCCACAUUGGGCAGGGUCGUGUGGCAGAUGCUGUUAUUUUCCAAGCUACUUUGGUAUAUGGGUUUUUUGCUUGUUGUUCAUCAGUGGGUUUGAUUUGUUACGAGGGACUGCAUGAUGAAAUUUAUUUUGAUCAUGGAACACCUACUGCAAUGCAGUACACAAUUUGUUUUCUUUUAUUGUAUUUGUCAAAUGUGGCAUGUAAAAUUCCUGGCAAUACUUAACCGGCAGCAACAUUUUUCAUGCUUUA